UUCACAAUUUCGGCAACACUAACGGGAAAAAAUAACUUAACUGGCAACGAAAAACUAUCUGUCAGUGAGUUGAAAAAAUAAUUUCCGGGGAGUGCACUGUGCACUCCUGAUCUUGGACUUUUCGGGUGCUUUAACCAGGAACCGCCGCUAAGGAACCGAUUUAAAAGCAAGCACCAAAGGCCGGUUACCGCCGCCAUCCUGCGCAGAUGGACGUUUCUUCAUCCUCGAUUCUAUAGCGGUGCCGUCGAUGGUUCAGAUGCGGGGAGCAAACUGCUUCUGGUUUACGAAGAAAGAUUAGUUGCCAAUCUCCAAGACGGAAGGCCUCAGGCAAACAAGGACAAAUUCUGCCAGGUACUGCCUCUUUCAUUUUGCAUGCGGAACUGCAACUAUGGCAAUCAGCAAGAUAACCGGGCAACAACGAACGGGUCUGGAUCACCAGUUGAGCAUGUUGAGUCCGACCCCACAGAAACCACCGAAUAAUUAUCGUCGAAUGAUUAAAUGAAAUCACCGGGCGGACAUCGGAUGCGCGUAAAGAAUUUAAGACAAAAAAAAAAAGAUUAAUUAAAAAAAAAAGUUAAAAAUU